rnacentral:rRNA from 1 species
UACGUAGGGACCGAGCGUUGUCCGGAAUCAUUGGGCGUAAAGAGCGUGUAGGCGGCCACUUAAGUCCUGCGUGAAAUCUUGCGGCUCAACCGCAAGCGGUCGUGGGAAACUGGGUGGCUAGAGUGCGGGAGAGGAGAGUGGAAUUCCUGGUGUAGCGGUGGAAUGCGCAGAUAUCAGGAAGAACACCCGUGGCGAAGGCGGCAUCCUGGACCGGUAUUGACGCUGAUGCGCGAAAGCCAGGGGAGCAAACGGG